rnacentral:rRNA from 1 species
UGGAAAGGCGGGGUGCUUACACAUGCAGUCGAACGGGAUCCAUCAGGCUUUGCUUGGUGGUGAGAGUGGCGAACGGGUGAGUAAUGCGUGACCGACCUGCCCCAUACACCGGAAUAGCUCCUGGAAACGGGUGGUAAUGCCGGAUGCUCCGACUCCUCGCAUGGGGUGUCGGGAAAGAUUUCAUCGGUAUGGGAUGGGGUCGCGUCCUAUCAGGUAGUCGGCGGGGUAACGGCCCACCGAGCCUACGACGGGUAGCCGGCCUGAGAGGGCGACCGGCCACAUUGGGACUGAGAUACGGCCCAGACUCCUACGGGAGGCAGCAGUGGGGAAUAUUGCACAAUGGGCGCAAGCCUGAUGCAGCGACGCCGCGUGCGGGAUGACGGCCUUCGGGUUGUAAACCGCUUUUGAUCGGGAGCAAGCCUUCGGGUGAGUGUACCUUUCGAAUAAGCACCGGCUAACUACGUGCCAGCAGCCGCGGUAAUACGUAGGGUGCAAGCGUUAUCCGGAAUUAUUGGGCGUAAAGGGCUCGUAGGCGGUUCGUCGCGUCCGGUGUGAAAGUCCAUCGCUUAACGGUGGAUCUGCGCCGGGUACGGGCGGGCUGGAGUGCGGUAGGGGAGACUGGAAUUCCCGGUGUAACGGUGGAAUGUGUAGAUAUCGGGAAGAACACCAAUGGCGAAGGCAGGUCUCUGGGCCGUUACUGACGCUGAGGAGCGAAAGCGUGGGGAGCGAACAGGAUUAGAUACCCUGGUAGUCCACGCCGUAAACGGUGGAUGCUGGAUGUGGGGCCCGUUCCACGGGUUCCGUGUCGGAGCUAACGCGUUAAGCAUCCCGCCUGGGGAGUACGGCCGCAAGGCUAAAACUCAAAGAAAUUGACGGGGGCCCGCACAAGCGGCGGAGCAUGCGGAUUAAUUCGAUGCAACGCGAAGAACCUUACCUGGGCUUGACAUGUUCCCGACAGCCGUAGAGAUAUGGCCUCCCUUCGGGGCGGGUUCACAGGUGGUGCAUGGUCGUCGUCAGCUCGUGUCGUGAGAUGUUGGGUUAAGUCCCGCAACGAGCGCAACCCUCGCCCUGUGUUGCCAGCACGUCAUGGUGGGAACUCACGGGGGACCGCCGGGGUCAACUCGGAGGAAGGUGGGGAUGACGUCAGAUCAUCAUGCCCCUUACGUCCAGGGCUUCACGCAUGCUACAAUGGCCGGUACAACGGGAUGCGACACGGCGACGUGGAGCGGAUCCCUGAAAACCGGUCUCAGUUCGGAUUGGAGUCUGCAACCCGACUCCAUGAAGGCGGAGUCGCUAGUAAUCGCGGAUCAGCAACGCCGCGGUGAAUGCGUUCCCGGGCCUUGUACACACCGCCCGUCAAGUCAUGAAAGUGGGUAGCACCCGAAGCCGGUGGCCUAACCCUUUGUGGAUGGAGCCGUCUAAGGUAAACUUUUGGA